rnacentral:rRNA from 1 species
GACGAACGCUGGCGGCGUGCUUAACACAUGCAAGUCGAACGGUAAGGCCCUUCGGGGUACACGAGUGGCGAACGGGUGAGUAACACGUGGGUGAUCUGCCCUGCACUUUGGGAGAAGCCUGGGAAACUGGGUCUAAUACCGAAUAUACCCUGCUGGUCGCAUGGCCUGGUGGGGGAAAGCUUUUGCGGUGUGGGAUGGGCCCGCGGCCUAUCAGCUUGUUGGUGGGGUGAUGGCCUACCAAGGCGACGACGGGUAGCCGGCCUGAGAGGGUGACCGGCCACACUGGGACUGAGAUACGGCCCAGACUCCUACGGGAGGCAGCAGUGGGGAAUAUUGCACAAUGGGCGCAAGCCUGAUGCAGCGACGCCGCGUGAGGGAUGACGGCCUUCGGGUUGUAAACCUCUUUCAAUAGGGACGAAGCGCAAGUGACGGUACCUAUAGAAGAAGGACCGGCCAACUACGUGCCAGCCGCCGCCGUAA